AUUCCCCAAAAUUAAGCAACAUUUGCUCGAGCACUUCUGGCAUCCUCGUCCAGCACCGUGGAUCUUUACACACCAGGAGACAUCAACGUAACGAGAGACGUACCCUGCUGAAAAGAUGGAGUACCCAGAAUGAAGAAGGAGAACAACUCACAGACUCCACCAACCAAAACCUCUAUUCAUGCUCUCCAUGACUGGGAUAUUGUGAGCAACAGCGUCACCGGUAACCUUGUAGAGGAGCAGCAGAAGAUUUACUGACUUGUCUCCAGGCUGAUGUCAGUGGUCUGAAGGGCGAGAACCUUUUCCCACGGUCUCACCCCCGGCAGAUGUAAAUGAAAAUGUUAAUGUUCAAGUUUUUCUUCACUUGACUCUUGUGCUGAAUUACAAUCACAUGCAGGUUUAAGUCACCGGAAAAGUACCUGGGAUAUAAAAUAGCUGCUGCUACAUUCACUCAUUAUUUCAUAUAGCAUGUUUUUUGAUACCUAAAAUCUGUAAUAUGUGUUUAAAAAAACAUAUAUUACACUAUAUUGUUGUGCCAAUGUGUAUAGUGUAAUUUAAAUGUAUGGAUUGCUGCAGCUGCUUGUGCUUGGCCUCUGAAUGAAAGGACUGAUGAAGUCAGAAGCAAAUAUGACACAUUUCACUCAUUUAUCUCUUAAUUUACAAAAUGGUUGUACAGCCACAACAGUCUCUGAGCCGAGUCUUUUUAUAGCCCUGUUAUAUAUUCUCUCACUACUUGCAUGUGGCCAAUUUUCCACUGGGCUGCUAAAAUGGCACCAGGUCUGCGUGGUGCCAGAGGAUUUGUGAUGCAACUGUAAAGCCUCUCGAUCUGUGAAGUAUCUCGCCUCCAGUUGGCCUGUCUUGCUUUUACUGACCACAGCCCAGUGGUGGCAACUGUGUAUUGAUUACAAAAUAAAUCUGUUGUAUCUGCCUUCUA